rnacentral:rRNA from 1 species
AUGAACGCUAGCUACAGGCUUAACACAUGCAAGUCGAGGGGCAUCAGGAAGAAAGCUUGCUUUCUUUGCUGGCGACCGGCGCACGGGUGAGUAACACGUAUCCAACCUGCCCUUUACUCGGGGAUAGCCUUUCGAAAGAAAGAUUAAUACCCGAUGGCAUAAUGAUUCCGCAUGGUUUCAUUAUUAAAGGAUUCCGGUAAAGGAUGGGGAUGCGUUCCAUUAGGUUGUUGGUGAGGUAACGGCUCACCAAGCCUUCGAUGGAUAGGGGUUCUGAGAGGAAGGUCCCCCACAUUGGAACUGAGACACGGUCCAAACUCCUACGGGAGGCAGCAGUGAGGAAUAUUGGUCAAUGGGCGCUAGCCUGAACCAGCCAAGUAGCGUGAAGGAUGAAGGCUCUAUGGGUCGUAAACUUCUUUUAUAUAAGAAUAAAGUGCAGUAUGUAUACUGUUUUGUAUGUAUUAUAUGAAUAAGGAUCGGCUAACUCCGUGCCAGCAGCCGCGGUAAUACGGAGGAUCCGAGCGUUAUCCGGAUUUAUUGGGUUUAAAGGGAGCGUAGGUGGACUGGUAAGUCAGUUGUGAAAGUUUGCGGCUCAACCGUAAAAUUGCAGUUGAUACUGUCAGUCUUGAGUACAGUAGAGGUGGGCGGAAUUCGUGGUGUAGCGGUGAAAUGCUUAGAUAUCACGAAGAACUCCGAUUGCGAAGGCAGCUCACUGGACUGCAACUGACACUGAUGCUCGAAAGUGUGGGUAUCAAACAGGAUUAGAUACCCUGGUAGUCCACACAGUAAACGAUGAAUACUCGCUGUUUGCGAUAUACAGUAAGCGGCCAAGCGAAAGCAUUAAGUAUUCCACCUGGGGAGUACGCCGGCAACGGUGAAACUCAAAGGAAUUGACGGGGGCCCGCACAAGCGGAGGAACAUGUGGUUUAAUUCGAUGAUACGCGAGGAACCUUACCCGGGCUUAAAUUGCAACUGACGGAACCGGAAACGGUUCUUUCUUCGGACAGUUGUGAAGGUGCUGCAUGGUUGUCGUCAGCUCGUGCCGUGAGGUGUCGGCUUAAGUGCCAUAACGAGCGCAACCCUUAUCUUUAGUUACUAACAGGUCAUGCUGAGGACUCUAGAGAGACUGCCGUCGUAAGAUGUGAGGAAGGUGGGGAUGACGUCAAAUCAGCACGGCCCUUACGUCCGGGGCUACACACGUGUUACAAUGGGGGGUACAGAAGGCAGCUAGCGGGUGACCGUAUGCUAAUCCCAAAAUCCUCUCUCAGUUCGGAUCGAAGUCUGCAACCCGACUUCGUGAAGCUGGAUUCGCUAGUAAUCGCGCAUCAGCCACGGCGCGGUGAAUACGUUCCCGGGCCUUGUACACACCGCCCGUCAAGCCAUGGGAGCCGGGGGUACCUGAAGUACGUAACCGCAAGGAUCGUCCUAGGGUAAAACUGGUGACUGGGGCU